rnacentral:tRNA from 1 species
GCCGAAAUGGCUCAGUUGGAAGAGCGUUAGAUCAUAAAUCGAAAGGUCCCUGGUUCGAUGCCAGGUUUCGUCA